rnacentral:lncRNA from 10 species
GCAGACGCAAAAGCGUCGUCUGUGGCGGCAGCUAGACAUCGGGCGACCCUCGUCCCGCCAGGUUUUGGGGUCGCGCAAACGAGCGACGGGGGCUGGGGCUCCGGAUUCAGGUGUUCUUUCUUCAGCGCUCACGGGUUUCUGUCCGUACGCGAUGCGAGCGAACGUCGCGGUCGAGGCUAGGGCCCCGAAGCCCGCAGUAAUCCACGUCUCCCGCCCGCUCCGGGCCCCCAGUGCCGCCGUCGCGGGCGGAGGCGCGAGGUCUGGGCUUUGGCGCCUUCGCAGCCGCAGGCGACAUCCUCUUUCCUAGCUAAAGCCCCAAACGCCCAGGUGGCUUCCUGGGAGAGCACGGCUGAGCCUCCGCCUUCAGAUCAGAACAGGCAGAGCCUCCAAGGGCGGCUUGGGCCCAGUGCCUGCUUAUCCUGCCCGUCUCUCCACACUUCUUCUUUCCCUGUCCGUUGGAGUCCAUUCCUUCCUGGAAAAGCCAAAGCCGCGCUCCCCUAAGAGGCCUGGAUGUGAAGGUGAGUGAGACGCCCUGGCCUCUGGGUGCAAAGGCCGGCGCCUGCCGCUUUCAACACUCAGGAGGCGCGUUUCAGCCCCGCUGGCCCCCGGCCGCAGACUCGGAGCGCUGAGCUCCCACCGUUCCCAUCACCCGACUCCCUUCCCAGGAAUGAGGAGCACCCGGGAAGCUUCAGCCACUACACGAAGGAGGCGCCAAGCCCAAACUCCUCCCCAGCUACCGGCGGGGUCAGUGCAGAGCCGCGGAGGGCACACAUGAACCCUGGCACGCAGCCUCAGGGAGGGGCAGGCUGGAAAUGACCCUGCCUGCAGCUGGGCCAUCAGCCUGACCACCUGCCCCCUGAGCAAACGUUGAUGCAGGUCGGGCGCGGUGGCUCAUGCCUGUAAUCCCAGCACUUUAGGAGCCCGAGGCAGGUGGAUCACCUGAGGUUAGGCGUUCACGACCAGCCUGGCCAACAUGGUGAAACACCGUCGCUACUAAAAAUACAAAAACUAGCCAGGCAUGGUAAUGGGGUGCACCUGUAGUCCAGCUACUCGGGAGGCUGAGGCCCGAGAAUCGCUUGAACCCAGGAGGCGGAGCUUGCAGUGAGCGGAGAUCACCACUCCAGCCUGGGUGACAGAGUGAGACUCCAUCUCAAAAAAAUUAAUUAAAGAAAAAACGCUGAUGCUUUCUGAAAUACAUUUUAUUAUCGCUGUACCAUUCUGGGGCACUGGAGAUGGCAGCUGAGAAGCAGAGAAGCUGGAGACCUGAAGCCUCCACCCUUGGCUGUGGCUGCCGAGAGAGGCCCCUGCAGAGGGAGCCCCAGGCCACACCCAGACACCACAGCCAGCUCACAGUGCGGCCAGAGGGCACAGGCUGCUUGGGGGGUGAGGGUCCCCAUUCCUGCCACCUCUCACAGACCAUGACCCACAGGGCUGGGGGCUUCCCCUGGGAGAAAGUCCUUCCCUCCCCAUGGCCCAGCCCUGGGGAAAGAAAGCAGAGACUAACUCAGGGACUGCAGUAGGCUGAGGACAAGGGAGGUGGGCUUGGGGUGAAGGCCCCCCCUCACUCGCAGAGAAGGGACACUACCGGCAGUAGAGGACAGGGAGGCAGGACGACGGCAGUUAGAGACGAGGCGUUUCAGGUGAACUGUAUGUAGUGUUACUCCGGACGUGAGCAUGGCCUGGGUCAGUCGAAUGAAAUGAGCUGGGCCUCGCUGCCCUGUGCCGGCGGCCCCUGUGCCUGCGGUUGCUGGGCCACGGGGGGCUGCUGCUGGGGGGGACCGCCAGAGGGUGCCAUCUGUGCAGGAGGAAAGCAGGCAUGGCCCUGGUCCUCCCUUCCCCAGCCCAGGGAGGAAGGCUUUUGUCCCAGCAGAGCCACAGACCCACAAGUGCUUGUAAUCCAUGUCCACGGACUGCAGCUCAUGCAGCCAGCUCAUGCGGCCUUUGCCUUUCAAGUAAAUUCACGGUUUUUCCUGUCUACA